UAAUACAACUACGUACGAAUAAACAAAUAGACCGCUUUAAAAACGGUAGCGUCUCUUGUAACAUUAUGGUACCUCUUGUGAUUGUCUCUUUUCCAGUCACACUAAUAAAAUAUAUUGCAGGUGGAGGUCCUCAAAACUAUGAAUUAGCUUCUCUUUGAAUGUUAUCCAUCCUAAUUGCUGCAGGCAAACUGAAUAUGUCAAUAUAAUGUGAUAUUCAUUGCAGUUUAUUAAGGACUUCGAAAUACUUGUCAAGGAAGAAGUGAGGCCAAGGUUAUCUACUCUGAUAUAUAAAACAGUUGAACUUGCAUUGAAACAGCGUGUGAAAUGUAAGGAGCAAGUGCUGCGCUUGCUGCUGGAAGCCUCUGAAGUGGACACAGCAAGACUUCGAACACGUCAUAUACAGACUGUGGCAGUACUUCAGACUCUGGCCCACAAUGUCCGGGAAUGUGCAGCGGUACAUAAUCUAUUUCUACAAAAAGGAGAAAAUGUCCCGGUGACGCCAUGCAUUCAAUACAAUGGCCCAGACCUCACAUGUGCGAGUAACCUCCUUCAUGUGAACCGAUAAAUCCUCUUCAGUGUCUCAAGCACAGAAGAAGGCAUAGCUGCACUAAUUGCCGCACGCUGGUUGCUGAACAUAGAGUACCCAUGCAAAGUCUUCAACAUUCUUGUUGCAGUGGAGUGGCUCCUCCUCGGUCAACGUGUCACAAC